GAUGAACGCUGGCGGCGUGCCUAAUACAUGCAAGUCGAGCGAACAGACGAGGAGCUUGCUCCUCUGACGUUAGCGGCGGACGGGUGAGUAACACGUGGAUAACCUACCUAUAAGACUGGGAUAACUUCGGGAAACCGGAGCUAAUACCGGAUAAUAUAUUGAACCGCAUGGUUCAAUAGUGAAAGACGGUUUUGCUGUCACUUAUAGAUGGAUCCGCGCCGCAUUAGCUAGUUGGUAAGGUAACGGCUUACCAAGGCAACGAUGCGUAGCCGACCUGAGAAGGUGAUCGGCCACACUGGAACUGAGACACGGUCCAGACUCCUACGGGAGGCAGCAGUAGGGAAUCUUCCGCAAUGGGCGAAAGCCUGACGGAGCAACGCCGCGUGAGUGAUGAAGGUCUUCGGAUCGUAAAACUCUGUUAUUAGGGAAGAACAAAUGUGUAAGUAACUAUGCACGUCUUGACGGUACCUAAUCAGAAAGCCGCGGCUAACUACGUG
rnacentral:rRNA from 1 species